GGUAGGCGGAAUGCGAAAACGUAACUGCAUGGUAAAGGUCAAAAUUAUUGCGGAGCCCUACACUACCCUGUGCCUCAUAAGUCAUAAUCCACUGUUUGCAGUUUAGGAAAGCUAACUCCACAAUUUAACAUUGGCCCUCAGGAACUGAGCUGCGUUCAUCUACAGUGGGUGAUUGCCCAUGGACAACAAGGCAGAAGUGAGACACUGUCACGCGCUGGAAGCAGCGACCACUGAAGAAGAAGAAGAAGAGCGUCAUCGUCCUAGUUGUUCGAGGCUCCCAUGUUGACCCGUUGUCGGACUCCUCCACCGUCCCCGGACCAUGGCCGAGCACCGGAACCUGAACGUGUGGCGCGCCACGCACGUGCUCGUCUACGUCUGCUCCAUCGGGACGUCGCUGGGCGCGCUCCUGAGCUACCGCAACAUGAACUCGAGCCUGGAGACCACGAUGGGCAAGUGCAUGCUCUACACGCAGCCCUGGGUCGAGCUGAACGUCAAGACGGGCAACUGCCGCAUCGACCUGGCGCGCACCGAGUGGGGCGGCGACGUGCUCUGCAACUUCGUGCUGUUCUCCAUGCUCGCCUCGUUCGUGUACGGCAUCAUCUCCGUCUGGUUCUUCAUCAUGUGCGCGCCCAGCCGACACAUGCCCGAGGACGACAGUAUCGUGCACGUGUGGAAGAUAGUGCCACCGGCCACGGCCCUGAGCACGGUGCUCACGCUGCUCACACUCAUCAUGGCCUGGCUGGUGACCAGUGGCGUGAACACCUUCUUCUACGAGCUCGAGCUACGCGUCCUGAGGAAUUGCACCACCCGUGCCGGCGGACCUGCAGCCUGGGAAAACGACAGCGUGGCGACUCUCUACAACGAGAGGCUCACCACACAGAUCUUCGCGUGGCUCAUCGUGCUGUGCUGGGUGAUGGCGACCUGUCGCUCGUCUGCCGCUGCAUGACGGCUGCAGACUUCGGCACUAACGGAGAGCUGCAGGCCUCCCGGCAUCCUGGUGGCGAAGUGGUCACCUACCUGGGCGGCCUCGUGUCCUCGCUCUACCGCGCCGGCAGGGAGCCUGCGGUCACCGUGGCUCAGCUGCCAGUUAGGCCGCGCCCCCCGCAGGAGCGGCGAGACGCGGUGUGA